UACAGAGGGUGCAAGCGUUAAUCGGAAUGACUGGGCGUAAAGCGUGUGUAGGUGGUUAGAUAAGUUAGAUGUGAAAUCCCCGGGCUUAACCUGGGAACUGCGUUUAAGACUGUUUAACUAGAGUACUGUAGAGGAUAGUGGAAUUUCCAGUGUAGCGGUGAAAUGCGUAGAUAUUGGAAGGAACACCAGUGGCGAAGGCGACUAUCUGGAUAGAUACUGACACUGAGACACGAAAGCGUGGGGAGCAAACAGG
rnacentral:rRNA from 1 species